rnacentral:misc_RNA from 1 species
GGAGAAAGCUCUAGGUCCUUAUGAUUUCUAUCUGGCUUCUUUCCAAGAGUGAUAGGAUAUUGUUAAGAAUGAUGUAGUGCAAGUUUUUCAAGAGUUCUUGUUGAAAGGGGUGGCAGGCAAAAGAAUGAAUUUUGUUUUUAUCAUUUUUGCACCCAAGUGGUAAUCCUAGAAUGCGUGGUUUUUAAGAUUGCAAGGAUGUUGGAUUCUUGGAAUUUUUUUUUUUC